GACGAACUUUGGCGGCGUGCUUAACACAUGCAAGUCGAACGGAAAGGCCCUGCUUUUGUGGGGUGCUCUAGUGGCGAACGGGUGAGUAACACGUGAGUAACCUGCCCUUGACUUUGGGAUAACUUCAGGAAACUGGGGCUAAUACCGGAUAGGAGCUCCUGCUGCAUGGUGGGGGUUGGAAAGUUUCGGCGGUUGGGGAUGGACUCGCGGCUUAUCAGCUUGUUGGUGGGGUAGUGGCUUACCAAGGCUUUGACGGGUAGCCGGCCUGAGAGGGUGACCGGCCACAUUGGGACUGAGAUACGGCCCAGACUCCUACGGGAGGCAGCAGUGGGGAAUAUUGCACAAUGGGCGGAAGCCUGAUGCAGCAACGCCGCGUGCGGGAUGACGGCCUUCGGGUUGUAAACCGCUUUCGCCUGUGACGAAGCGUGAGUGACGGUAAUGGGUAAAGAAGCACCGGCUAACUACGUGCCAGCAGCCGCGGUGAUACGUAGGGUGCGAGCGUUGUCCGGAUUUAUUGGGCGUAAAGGGCUCGUAGGUGGUUGAUCGCGUCGGAAGUGUAAUCUUGGGGCUUAACCCUGAGCGUGCUUUCGAUACGGGUUGACUUGAGGAAGGUAGGGGAGAAUGGAAUUCCUGGUGGAGCGGUGGAAUGCGCAGAUAUCAGGAGGAACACCAGUGGCGAAGGCGGUUCUCUGGGCCUUUCCUGACGCUGAGGAGCGAAAGCGUGGGGAGCGAACAGGCUUAGAUACCCUGGUAGUCCACGCUGUAAACGGUGGGUACUAGGUGUGGGGUCCAUUCCACGGGUUCCGUGCCGUAGCUAACGCUUUAAGUACCCCGCCUGGGGAGUACGGCCGCAAGGCUAAAACUCAAAGGAAUUGACGGGGCCCCGCACAAGCGGCGGAGCAUGCGGAUUAAUUCGAUGCAACGCGUAGAACCUUACCUGGGUUUGACAUGGAUCGGGAGCGCUCAGAGAUGGGUGUGCCUCUUUUGGGGUCGGUUCACAGGUGGUGCAUGGCUGUCGUCAGCUCGUGUCGUGAGAUGUUGGGUUAAGUCCCGCAACGAGCGCAACCCUUGUUCACUGUUGCCAGCACGUUAUGGUGGGGACUCAGUGGAGACCGCCGGGGUCAACUCGGAGGAAGGUGGGGAUGACGUCAAGUCAUCAUGCCCCUUAUGUCCAGGGCUUCACGCAUGCUACAAUGGCUGGUACAGAGAGUGGCGAGCCUGUGAGGGUGAGCGAAUCUCGGAAAGCCGGUCUCAGUUCGGAUUGGGGUCUGCAACUCGACCUCAUGAAGUCGGAGUCGCUAGUAAUCGCAGAUCAGCAACGCUGCGGUGAAUACGUUCCCGGGGC
rnacentral:rRNA from 1 species